AGUGAACGCUGGCGGUAGGCCUAACACAUGCAAGUCGAACGGCAGCACAGGAGAGCUUGCUCUCUGGGUGGCGAGUGGCGGACGGGUGAGGAAUACAUCGGAAUCUACUCUGUCGUGGGGGAUAACGUAGGGAAACUUACGCUAAUACCGCAUACGACCUACGGGUGAAAGCAGGGGACCUUCGGGCCUUGCGCGAUUGAAUGAGCCGAUGUCGGAUUAGCUAGUUGGCGGGGUAAAGGCCCACCAAGGCGACGAUCCGUAGCUGGUCUGAGAGGAUGAUCAGCAAAACUGGAAAUGAGAAACGGUCCAGACUCCUACGGGAGGCAGCAGUGGGGAAUAUUGGACAAUGGGCGCAAGCCUGAUUCAGCCAUACCGCGUGGGUGAAGAAGGCCUUCGGGUUGUAAAGCCCUUUUGUUGGGAAAGAAAUCCAGCUGGCUAAUACCCGGUUGGGAUGACGGUACCCAAAGAAUAAGCACCGGCUAACUUCGUGCCAGCCGCCGCCGUAA
rnacentral:rRNA from 1 species